rnacentral:rRNA from 1 species
GACGAACGCUGGCGGCGUGCUUAACACAUGCAAGUCGAACGCUGAAGCUCAGCUUUUGUUGGGUGGAUGAGUGGCGAACGGGUGAGUAACACGUGAGUAACCUGCCCCCUUCUUUGGGAUAACGCCCGGAAGCGGGUGCUAAUACUGGAUAUUCACUGGUCUUCGCAUGGGGGUUGGUGGAAAGGGUUUUUCUGGUGGGGGAUGGGCUCGCGGCCUAUCAGCUUGUUGGUGGGGUGAUGGCCUACCAAGGCUUUGACGGGUAGCCGGCCUGAGAGGGUGACCGGUCACAUUGGGACUGAGAUACGGCCCAGACUCCUACGGGAGGCAGCAGUGGGGAAUAAUGCACAAUGGGCGCAAGCCUGAUGCAGCGACGCCGCGUGAGGGAUGGAGGCCUUCGGGUUGUGAACCUCUUUCGCUCAUGGUCAAGCCGCAACAAUGGUUGUGGUGAGGGUAGUGGGUAAAGAAGCGCCGGCUAACUACGUG